UACAGAGGGGGCAAGCGUUAUUCGGAAUUAUUGGGCGUAAAGGGCGCGUAGGCGGCGAUUCAAGUGACGGGUGAAAUCCCUCGGCUUAACCGAGGAACUGCCUGUCAGACUGGAUUGCUUGAGGCCGGGAGAGGCGAGUGGAAUUCCUGGUGUAGCGGUGAAAUGCGCAGAUAUCAGGAGGAACACCAAUGGCGAAGGCAGCUCGCUGGGACGUGACUGACGCUGAGACGCGAAAGCGUGGGGAGCAAACAGG
rnacentral:rRNA from 1 species